CGAGGUGUAGCGCAGUUGGUAGCGUGCCUGCUUCGGGAGCAGGAAGUCGCAGGUUCAAGUCCUGUCACCUCGACCA
rnacentral:tRNA from 1 species